rnacentral:rRNA from 1 species
AUUGAACGCUGGCGGCAUGCUUUACACAUGCAAGUCGAACGGCAGCACGGGUGCUUGCACCUGGUGGCGAGUGGCGAACGGGUGAGUAAUGCAUCGGAACGUGCCCAUGAGUGGGGGAUAGCCCGGCGAAAGCCGGAUUAAUACCGCAUACGCCCUUAGGGGGAAAGCGGGGGAUCUUCGGACCUCGCGCUAUUGGAGCGGCCGAUGUCGGAUUAGCUAGUAGGUGAGGUAAAGGCUCACCUAGGCGACGAUCCGUAGCUGGUCUGAGAGGAUGAUCAGCCACACUGGGACUGAGACACGGCCCAGACUCCUACGGGAGGCAGCAGUGGGGAAGUUUGGACAAUGGGCGCAAGCCUGAUCCAGCCAUGCCGCGUGAGUGAAGAAGGCCUCGG